rnacentral:rRNA from 1 species
AUGGCUGUACCGUUCACGUUUAUGCAGGGUUUAAAGUUUGAUGUAGGAUGGGCACACAAGUUUGAUGUUUGCAGUUACAGAUUUUUGUCAAAGCCCGCUGAAACGAAGUUUAGUUCAGCAGACCAUACCGAAUUGUCCCAGCUCAGUGUAUCUCAGCGAAGUAGCGGGUUCAUGCAAGGCCUGGCCGACGGCAACGACUUUAGGGGCUGUCGUGCUUUGCAUACUUCAUCUAGGCUUGUACGCUUGAUUUUAUUUCAAGAUUUGUUGGCAUUCUUCUUAGAUGAGAGAGUGCAGGCUUGUGCUCUUCUGUUGAAGAGCUUGAGCAUGAGACCGAGGGUCAGUUCCAAUGUUGCUAAGCAAGCUAAAAUGGAAGAUAUAGUGGCUGAGAGAGAUGCCAUACAUGAUCAGGUGAAAAUCAUCAUACAUGGAGUAAAGGAGGGAGAAGCAGCCAUGUCUAAGAUUAAGGUCCUGGACGAUGAGGCGAUGGGCGUGGAGAGCUGCUACAAGCUCGCGCAGGCGGCAUACGUCAACCUCGCGCUGCACACACUCAAGCACCUGGCGCCCGUCGUCAAUGGGCUCCUCGUCCAUGAUUAG